rnacentral:lncRNA from 1 species
AAUUUGCUCACUUCCUGUGGAGAGAGCGAGACGAGAGUUGGUGUUAGGAGCUUGAACAGGGAGGACGCCCGCAGACAGCUUUCCUUCAGAUCGGUCACCCUGAAGUUCUCAACUCUCUGGACUUUCAUCUAUCACCAGAUUCAAAUUUAUCUCUUAAUAUGCACAAGGUCCUGGAGACAAAAAGAAAUAACAGCCUUUUCACGAAGGAACCUGCAUUCUAAUGAAGGAUAUUACAUGUCACCAGUGAUAAGAUGUGAUGUGCUGGAAAGAAUGCUGAAUUUGGAAGAAGUCCUGUGUUCAAAUCUCAAGCUCUGCUAUAUAUUACUUGUGUUACUUUGGAAAAAAUGAAGAAAAAUAUGAUGAUACUAGACACAAUGAAUGCUCUAUGUGUGAUUGAAAAUCUGUUACUCUAAAAAAGAACUACAUAUCCCAAGAGCCCACUGACUUCCUGUCAUCACAUAAUUCCUGUAGAGAGAGGAUAAAGGGCGUGGGCUUUGGAAGCAUUCUCAGAUGUAGAAUCAGCAUUGAUGGUGGUGAGUGGGGUUGAUUAAAAAAUGACUAACCAGCCAUGGGCACGUGGUCUUUAUU